CAGGACUAUAAACACUAGCAGAGCACUGAAGCAUGGGCUGAUAAUGCAAAGUGGAACCUCUCUAUGGAAAUAUCUAGAACCCCUCCUGAACCUAAAACACAACAAAGAAAACACUCUAAAUAUUACAGAACAAUAUUACACUCACACCAUUUUAUACACCCAGAUUCUGACUGGAUACAUCUGAUACACAUCCAGAGGACUGAGUGUGUGAGUGUGUGAGUGUGUGUGUGUGUGUGUGUGUGUGUGUGUGUGUGGUUCAUCACUGGAGUGUAACAGAGGUUUUUGUACGACGGCUUCAUUGGAAUGUAUCACUGUGGUACACUUUCGGUGGAGGAACUAAACUCACUAUAACCGGUCCCACGGUGAAGCCCUCCGUGUCUCUGCUCCGCCCCUCCUCUCUGCAGCUGUCUGAGGGCUCCGCCUCUCUGCUCUGCCUGCUGUCUGGCUACUCUCCACAGGGGGCGCUGGUCAGCUGGACGGUGGACGGCUCAGAGGUGAAGGACGGGGUUCUGACCAGUGCAGAAGAAGAGAAGAACGGCCACUACAGCCGCAGCAGCACCCUGACCCUCAGCAAAGCACUCUGGGAACAGGGGGAGGAGUUUAUCUGCACCGUCACCCACGACAACGCAAUUCAGCCAAUCAGGUUGAGGAAGAGCGAGUGUGAAGGCUAGCAGCUCCAAGAUAGAAGUGAACAUAGAGCUGCUUCCACCUGCAUCUCCAAUAGAGUGUAAAUUCUACACAGUGCUGAUAUUUGUGUCUUUACUCUGGUCAGUGUGCUGUAGCUGUCCCCAUACUUUUGCUGUGCUGAAAUAAAGCUGGAUUUUGGA